rnacentral:tRNA from 1 species
AGACAAGACAUUACUAUUUUGCAGAUAGUACCAAGCUAUAUAAUAUUUAGCCUUGCCUA